GAGAAUCUUUGGGCCUAGCUCACCAUACAGUAAAGAUUGAUAUGAGUGAAAUUUAUAACGAAGAAGUGCGCAAUCUGAGCUCAAUGGCUUCAAAUGAUAACGUCGUUAAAACAAAAACCAGGCGCUUGGAGCUUUAAAGGAAGCAUUGAGCAAGAGGGCUGUUGCUAAGACUUCGCGCAAUGAAAGAUCAUCUCGAAGCCAUUUUAUUUUCAGGUUAUCCAUAUAUUCUUAUAACGAGAAAAUGGAAAUGUGCGAAGGAGCUCUUAACAUCAUUGAUUUAGCCGGUAGUGAAGCGGCGGACAGUGAUGCUAAAGA